CAGAGCCCCGUCGGCGUGGGGACACGUAGCUGGUGGGAUCGCGCCAUGGCCUGGGCCCCUCUGCUCCUCGUGGUGCUCGCCCACGGCUCAGGUUCCCUGGUCCAGGCAGCACUGACGCAGCAGCCGGCCUCGGUGUCCGUGUCCCCGGGAGAAACCGCCCGCAUCACCUGCUCUGGGGGUAGCAGUGACUACUAUGGCAGCUACUACUAUGGCUGGAUCCAGCAGAAACCUGGUGGUGCCCCGGUCAUUGUGAUAUACAACAACAACCAGAGACCCUCGGGCAUCCCUGCGCGAUUCUCCGCUUCCACGUCUGGCUCCACAAACACGUUAACCAUCACUGGGGUGCAAGCCGAGGACGAGGCCGUGUAUUACUGUGGUGGCUAUGCUGGUAGUUGGACUGAUGCCACGGUGCCCCCGAUCAAGGGGGAAGUGAGACUCAAACCCGGGAGCAGGUGGGGCAGUGUGUGGAGCUGAAAGCUGCUGCGUGUCCUGGGGAAAGCUUUGCCAAUUUUCUGCUCCCCGAGGCUGAGCUCCCCGCCGGGCCCGGCACUGCAGCAUCAGAGCUGAUGUUGGUGCGUGUGGCUGGUGUGCGCAGGUUUGCCAGGCCUCGCUGAGCCCCCAGGCAGGCUGCGGGUGGGCAGGAAGAGGUGGGCAGCCUCAGCCGCUUGCUUGCCUACUGGUUUGACUCAGCUGUCCUCAGUGUCUGUGUCUCCAGAGGAACUGCCCAGGUCU